CCAAUAGCGUAUAUUAAAGUUGUUGCAGUUAAAAAGCUCGUAGUUGAAUUUCGAGAUCAAAUUGUUGGUCGUGCCUUGGUACGCACUGGCAUUAUUGGUUUCUCCCUUCUGACGAACCAUGAUGUCAUUAAUUUGGUGUCUUGGGGAAUCAGGACUGUUACUUUGAAAAAAUUAGAGUGUUUAAAGCAGGCUCACGCUUGAAUACAUUAGCAUGGAAUAAUGAAAUAGGACGUUUGAUUCUAUUUUGUUGGUUUCUAGGAUCGACGUAAUGAUUAAUAGGGAUAGUUGGGGGCAUUAGUAUUCAAUUGUCAGAGGUGAAAUUCUUGGAUUUAUUGAAGACUAACUACUGCGAAAGCAUUUGCCAAGGAUGUUUUCAUUAAUCAAGAACGAAAGUUAGGGGAUCGAAGACGAUCAGAUACCGUCGUAGUCUUAACCAUAAACUAUGCCGACUAGGGAUCGGAUGAUGUUAAUUUUUUAAUGACUCGUUCGGCGCCUUACG
rnacentral:rRNA from 1 species